GUAGUCGUGGCCGAGUGGUUAAGUCGAUGGCCUAGAAAUCCAUUGGGCUCUCCUCGCGCAUGUUCGAAUCCUGCCGACUACG
rnacentral:tRNA from 1 species